GGUAUAUAGCUCAGUUGAGUUGAUAGAGUGCUUGCCUUGCAUGCACAAGGCCCUGGGUUCAAUCCCCAGCACCA
rnacentral:tRNA from 1 species